AUGGAGCUAGGCCUCGCGCUCCGGCUAGCCGCGCCGCCGGCGCGCCUCCCCCGCCGCCGGUAUUCAACACCGCCGUGCGCGCCAGGACGGAGCGGUAUCUGCGCUGGGAGGCGCGAGAGUAGGGGGGCGGGGGCUGUGUCGACGAGUGGGGGUGUGAGCUAUGCGGUGGUUGAAGAUGAGGAGGGGGAGGAGGAGGAGAUGGCGAGGCCGCGGCUGGAGCUCAUCGAGAAGCCGGACCGGAGCCUGGCGCUGCUGGACGAGUACGAGUCGGAGGAGCUGGGGGCGGCGCUCUGCGCCAACCACCGCAGCGGUUAUGUUGCUGUGUUGGGGAAGCCGAAUGUCGGCAAGAGCACCCUGAUAAACCAAAUUGUGGGUCAGAAGCUUUCGAUCGUAACGGACAAGCCACAGACCACACGUCACCGCAUUCUUGGUAUAUGUUCGGAACCAGAAUACCAGAUAAUACUUUAUGACACGCCAGGCGUCAUUAAGAAGGAAAUGCACAAGCUAGACUCGAUGAUGAUGAAGAAUGUCCAGAGCGCUAUUGGCAAUGCGGACUGUGUGAUUGUCGUCGCUGAUGCUUCCAAACUGCCCGAAAAGAUAGAUGAUAUGCUGGAAGCGGGUGUGGGAAACAAAGAUACCAAGGUCCCUGUUGUGUUGGUACUCAACAAGAAAGAUAUGAUAAAACCCGGAGAAAUCGCAAAGAAACUCGAGUGGUACCAAAAAUUCACUGAUGUUGACGAUGUUAUACCUAUAAGUGCUAAAUUUGGUCAUGGAGUGGUUGAUAUCAAGGAGUGGAUAUUGUCAAAGCUUCCACUAGGUCCUGCCUACUACCCCAAGGUAUCAUUAUGGAAGAUGCAAAAUUUUCUGAAGCAGUUAGUACUAUGGAUGGACAGCCAUUUUCUUUAUCAUGUAGAUCUAGCAAAUCAAGUAGAAAUGUGCAAUGCAAUUUAG
rnacentral:rRNA from 1 species